rnacentral:misc_RNA from 1 species
GCGCUCAAUGAACUCGAGUCCGGUGGUUAGGCUGGAGAUGGUUGUGCUCAUGUCGCUGGGUAGGCUCGCGGGAACAGGUUCGGAUCGGGCGUCAGCAUGUCCUCGUUCAUUGAGCUAAGCAGAGGCACGCCUGUGACACUCGGCUUCUGGUAGUCGAUGAGAAGACCGAUGUCGGCAGCCAUGGCGCGAGUCUCUGCCAGAAGGUCUCCCUUCUGCUUACGCAUGCUGUCGAGACGAUUUUCCCAAGUAACGAUCUCGCUUGUACCAGAAGUGUUCUUGCUGAGCGGC